UACGGGGGGUGCGAGCGUUGUCCGGAAUCACUGGGCGUAAAGGGCGCGUAGGUGGUUUGAUAAGGGUGUGGUGAAAGUCCGGAGCUCAACUCCGGAUCUGCCGUGCCGACUGUCAAACUCGAGGGCUGUAGAGGCAGACGGAAUUCCUGGUGUAGCGGUGAAAUGCGCAGAUAUCAGGAGGAACACCGGUGGCGAAGGUGGGUCUCUGGGCCGAUACUGACGCUGAGGAGCGAAAGCGUGGGGAGCGAACAGG
rnacentral:rRNA from 1 species